rnacentral:lncRNA from 1 species
AGUCAAAAGCGCCCGGGUGCGCCCGCGUCAACCCCGCGUCCUCCGCUCCCAGCCCCCGCUGCCCCCGCAGGUCCUGCGUCCCCGGAGCCUCCUGCACCCCGGAGCCCCGCUCUCCCACUUCCAGGUCCCCGGCUCCGGCACCUCCCGGAACCCCCUCCCGCGUCCCUCGCGACCCCCUCUCGCCUGCACCUCCGCGUCCCCCUGCGCCCGCGCCCCCCCCACCCCUGCACCUCCCACGUUCCCUGCGCCCCCUGCGCCGGCGCCCCCCCGCACCUCCCGCGCCCACGCUCCCCGCACCCCAGCACCUCCCGCGUCCCCUGCGCCCGCGCCCCUGCACCCGCGCUCCCCUCACCCCCGCGCCUCCCGCGUCCCCUGCGCCCGCGCCCCCUCCCGGGCCUCACCGGGCGCCCCGCACUCCCCCGAGGCCCGGCUGCAGCCGCGGCGAGCUCAGAGCCGCAUUGCGGCCGGCACAGCCAGGGGCGCGCGGCCAGUCUUCGCAGGCACCGGGUCCAGGCCGAGGGCGGCUUUCCCCUCCGCGCGGCAUUUAGGAGGUGGGAGGAGCGGCGCGGCGAGGCGCCCGGGAAAUCUGAUAGGUCCUGGAUCCUUCUCUCCCUGGGACGAGGAGCACGCACUUUUCGGAGCACUGCCUGCCUUUUCACGCCCCGAUGCAGCCAAGUUAGGAGUUCUCAUGUGUCUUGUCCAAGAAAAGUGAGCGGCAAAGCAGGAAGCUCUAAAUCUACCCAUUUGGAUGAGACCCAGUCCCUCAUCAAUGGCUGGCUCCCGUUUACAGAAUGCCCAAGCAUGAAUGUGCCAACCCAAGCCAAAAUUCCUGCCGUGGACAGAGAUGCCAAGAGACGGUGAAGCAGGCGGGGGGCCGGGGGUGGGAAGCAGAGAAAGCACACGGAUGCGUUCGAGAUCUUUCCAUGUGCGAGGGAAGGGACCUAUCGGAGCAGACCAUCAUCACUAAGCUCAUAAGCUUCCCCAUCAGGAACGCAGACCUCCCAAGACCAUUUCUCUGGAUCUACAGUGUUACCCUCCAGCCUGACGCCCAGGUCAGAAGUCUGAGCUCCCUCGUCUCUCCCUCACACACCCCAGUCCAUUCUCCCUGAGCACAUCUUUUCCAUCCAGCCCCUCCUGCCACCCCGGCCCGGGUGCCACCACCUCUGGCUGGUGUUUUACAGGCGCUCCAUGACCGGCCUGAGCUCCACUGUUAGAACAAUCUGACCUAACUCAAGCCCUUGCUUGAAAACCAUGGGUGCUUCUGGAGACGUGUAUCCUCACCCGGCCUCCAUACCUGCCAGGAGCCGCACAGCACCUCCCACCAGCCAUGCCGACAGUCUGCCAUUUGUGACAUAGCACUCUGGCAUUGUUUGUGACUUUCCUGCUCAUCCUUCCCUUCCCUGGGUCCCUAGAAAACUCCUAUUUAGCCUUCAAAACCCACAUCGAAUGCCACCUUCUCUCCCCAGCUCAAAGUCAGUGACUUCAUCCUCCAGCCAUGUCCGUCCCUGCCUCUGUAGUAGCACUCACCACAUGGCACGCCUGAGGCUGCCCUCCAUUGGCUCACAUACCUGUCACCUCACUUGGGGACAGAGACCCCAGGCAUUGGUGUUAAUGUUCCUGAACCUUGAAUGGGUUCCCACAUGAGUGUUAAAUCAUGCACAAGGGGACACUGAGGAAAGCCUUGCCUGCCUUCUAGGACCCCCUAGAAGCCCACCCUCUGCAUCACAGAGAUAGAGAUAGCUGUAUUCUUGGAUACAGCCAGUUGUCAGUCAUUCAGGCUAAAAUAUGAAAGAGCUGGGGCGCCUGGGUGGAUCAGUCGAUUAACCGUCCGACUUCGGCUCAGGUCAUGAUCUCGAGGUCCGUGGUCCAUGAUCUCGAGGUCUCGAGGUCCAUGAUCUUGAGGCCCCAUGUCGGGCUCUAGGCUGACAGCUCAGAGCCUGGAGCCUGCUUCCGGUUCUGUGUCUCCCUUUCUCUCUCUCUCUGCCCCUCCCCCACUCACACUCUGUCUCUCUCUCAAAAAUAAACAUUAAAAAAAAAUUUAGAUAUGAAAGAGC